UCUUUUUUCACGCGGUAGUGCGUGCAUCUGAAAUCGCUCCCAACAUCGAGGGAUUGAUUUUAACAAGCAAACUAUAGCUCGAUACAACAGAUAUCCUGAUUUUUUAUAUGGACUCCGAGUUUCUGCAGGCGCUCAGUAAAUUUUCACAACUCAAACUUCGAUCUCCAAAUAGACGAAUUAUGCUGCAUUGAUGGACUUCGAAAGCCUUUUCCAACUUUGCGAGCAUCUUUCAAGACUUAAAAUAUUUAAGCGUUUGUUUCGCUAAUGGCUUUGCUGAUAUUGAUUUUGAAGAGCAAAAUAUUGCUAAAAAAUGAAAAAGAGCAUGUCAAACCUGCAAGUGUUUCUUUACAACGCAUCUGCUGAGUAUCACUUGAGGAGGCGAUUGUGCAUGGACCCUCUGCCAAACUUAGAAGUCGCAUUGAAGAAUUUGCAAGUUAAUUCUGCUUGAUGCAAGACUUCAUCCCCUUUGCACUUGACCAGAUUAGCUAUGAAACUUCAAAUUUGCGCCACUUGCUGGUAGAUUUUGGCCAAGAAGAAACAACAAGUUAAAACGUGCAUCUGACACAUUCUCUUGUCAGUCAUUUAUGGGUCUUCUGGUAUGCAGAAUGGGUUCGCGAUGAAAGCUAGUGGCAACCGUUGCGCUUAAAUUCUCUAAUAUCGAGAGUCUUUCGUUAGGAGAUUUUCCUCUACAUGUUCUGAACCGCUUCUUGGACAACUAUGGAUCAAAUCUUCGUAAACUUUCUUUAUUUCAUAAACUUGUGGAGUGCAGAUGACUUUCAAGGAAAUAUUUGCUGCCUGUCCAAGAUUAAGCAAACUCGAGUUGGCCACGAUCAUCAAUGACCCAGAGCCCAUCACUUUCUUCGCUUGCCCUAUGGAAAUUGAAAUAUAUUUUAAGAGCUCCUACGAAAGCAAAGAUGAGCUGUCAAAUAUACUGAGUGCACCUGACCUAAAUAAAGUUACAUUAUUCGGUAAUUUUGACGUCAAGAGCCUCAAGAAAGUGACAUCUUUAAUUUUAAAAAAGGAAAUUCUGCACCAGCUCCAAACUCUUAUCAUAGAAAUGAGAAUUAAUAAUUCGGAAACACUCGUUUCGUUGAUGCGGAACGUAUCAAAGAAACCAUGGAGUUGACAAAGUGCGCCGCUGCCAAUCUACAAAAUAUCAGUAGCUGUGUUAAAUUCUACUUGAAUUCGCGUAAAUGUGAAUAUAGUGUGUUGGCAAAAAGCCUGAGAGUCUGAGAGGUGGAAAAAUUGUCAACGAAGCUAUGCCUGAUA